rnacentral:rRNA from 1 species
UACGGAGGUUGCGAGCGUUAUCCGGAUUUAUUGGGUUUAAAGGGUGCGUAGGCGGACUGUCAAGUCAGCGGUAAAAUUGAGAGGCUCAACCUCUUCCCGCCGUUGAAACUGGUGGUCUUGAGUGGAUGAGAAGUACGCGGAAUGCGUGGUGUAGCGGUGAAAUGCAUAGAUAUCACGCAGAACUCCGAUUGCGAAGGCAGCGUACCGGCAUCCAACUGACGCUGAGGCACGAAAGCGUGGGGAUCAAACAGG